AUGAACGCUGGCGGCGUGCCUAAUACAUGCAAGUCGAGCGAACGGACGAGAAGCUUGCUUUUCUGAUGUUAGCGGCGGACGGGUGAGUAACACGUGGAUAACCUACCUAUAAGACUGGGAUAACUUCGGGAAACCGGAGCUAAUACCGGAUAAUAUUUUGAACCGCAUGGUUCAAAAGUGAAAGACGGUCUUGCUGUCACUUAUAGAUGGAUCCGCGCUGCAUUAGCUAGUUGGUAAGGUAACGGCUUACCAAGGCAACGAUGCAUAGCCGACCUGAGAGGGUGAUCGGCCACACUGGAACUGAGACACGGUCCAGACUCCUACGGGAGGCAGCAGUAGGGAAUCGUCCGCAAUGGGCGAAAGCCUGACGGAGCAACGCCGCGUGAGUGAUGAAGGUCUUCGGAUCGUAAAACUCUGUUAUUAGGGAAGAACAUAUGUGUAAGUAACUGUGCACAUCUUGACGGUACCUAAUCAGAAAGCCACGGCUAACUACGUG
rnacentral:rRNA from 1 species